CGGGGGCAACCCUGGUGGCGAGUGGCGAACGGGUGAGUAAUACAUCGGAACGUGUCCUGUAGUGGGGGAUAGCCCGGCGAAAGCCGGAUUAAUACCGCAUACGCUCUACGGAGGAAAGGGGGGGAUCUUAGGACCUCUCGCUACAGGGGCGGCCGAUGGCAGAUUAGCUAGUUGGUGGGGUAAAGGCCUACCAAGGCGACGAUCUGUAGCUGGUCUGAGAGGACGACCAGCCACACUGGGACUGAGACACGGCCCAGACUCCUACGGGAGGCAGCAGUGGGGAAUUUUGGACAAUGGGCGCAAGCCUGAUCCAGCAAUGCCGCGUGUGUGAAGAAGGCCUUCGGGUUGUAAAGCACUUUUGUCCGGAAAGAAAACUUCUGCCCUAAUACGGCGGGAGGAUGACGGUACCGGAAGAAUAAGCACCGGCUAACUACGUGCCAGCAGCCGCGGUAAUACGUAGGGUGCAAGCGUUAAUCGGAAUUACUGGGCGUAAAGCGUGCGCAGGCGGUUCGCUAAGACAGAUGUGAAAUCCCCGGGCUUAACCUGGGAACUGCAUUUGUGACUGGCGGGCUAGAGUAUGGCAGAGGGGGGUAGAAUUCCACGUGUAGCAGUGAAAUGCGUAGAGAUGUGGAGGAAUACCGAUGGCGAAGGCAGCCCCCUGGGCCAAUACUGACGCUCAUGCACGA
rnacentral:rRNA from 1 species